CCUACGGGAGGCUGCAGUGAGGAAUAUUGGUCAAUGGGCGAGAGCCUGAACCAGCCAAGUCGCGUGAGGGAAGACGGUCCUAUGGAUUGUAAACCUCUUUUGCCGGGGAGCAAAAAGCGGUACGUGUACCGCAUCGAGAGUACCCGGAGAAAAAGCAUCGGCUAACUCCGUGCAAGCAGCCGCGGUAAUACGGAGGAUGCGAGCGUUAUCCGGAUUUAUGGGGGUAAAGGGGUGAGCAGGGGGCGAGUAAAGUCAGCGGUAAGAUUUCGGUGCUAAACCCCGACGAGCCUUUGAAACUGGCUGGCUAGAGUGGGCGAGAAGUAGGCGGAAUGCGUGGUGUAGCGGUGAAAUGCAUAGAUAUCACGCAGAACUCUGAUUGCGAAGGCAGCAUACCGGCGCCCAACUGACGCUCAGGCACGAAAGCGUGGGUAUCGAACAGGAUUAGAUACCCCUGUAGUC
rnacentral:rRNA from 1 species